rnacentral:rRNA from 1 species
AUUGAACGCUGGCGGCAUGCCUUACACAUGCAAGUCGAACGGUAACAGGUCUUCGGAUGCUGACGAGUGGCGAACGGGUGAGUAAUACAUCGGAACGUGCCCGAGAGUGGGGGAUAACGAGGCGAAAGCUUUGCUAAUACCGCAUACGAUCUCAGGAUGAAAGCAGGGGACCGCAAGGCCUUGCGCUCACGGAGCGGCCGAUGGCAGAUUAGGUAGUUGGUGGGAUAAAAGCUUACCAAGCCGACGAUCUGUAGCUGGUCUGAGAGGACGACCAGCAACACGGGGACUGAGACACGGCCCAGACUCCUACGGGAGGCAGCAGUGGGGAAUUUUGGACAAUGGGCGCAAGCCUGAUCCAGCCAUGCCGCGUGCAGGAUGAAGGCCUUCGGGUUGUAAACUGCUUUUGUACGGAACGAAAAGACUCCUUCUAAUAAAGGGGGUCCAUGACGGUACCGUAAGAAUAAGCACCGGCUAACUCUGUGCCAGCCGCCGCAGUAAUAC